rnacentral:rRNA from 1 species
UUUAUUGGAGAGUUUGAUCCUGGCUCAGGAUGAACGCUGGCGGCGUGCCUAAUACAUGCAAGUCGAGCGAAUGGAUUAAGAGCUUGCUCUUAUGAAGUUAGCGGCGGACGGGUGAGUAACACGUGGGUAACCUGCCCGUAAGACUGGGAUAACUCCGGGAAACCGGGGCUAAUACCGGAUGACAUUUUGAACUGCAUGGUUCGAAAUUGAAAGGCGGCUUCGGCUGUCACUUAUGGAUGGACCCGCGUCGCAUUAGCUAGUUGGUGAGGUAACGGCUCACCAAGGCAACGAUGCGUAGCCGACCUGAGAGGGUGAUCGGCCACACUGGGACUGAGACACGGCCC